UAAACUGCUUAAAGAAGAGUCGGAGUGUUGCAUCUUCCUUGCUGGUCGAGAUGGUUGCAACAGGUGGUGGCCCGUAAAGACUCAGAACUUUCUGCAGUCAGGGACCAACAAGACCCGGUGUGGGUGCCAGAACGCCUGAUUAGAAAAGUCCAACAUGAAGAGUGUCAUGACUGUCAAUGUGAUGACCCUCCUGCUCCUUCCUAUGAUGAUACAGCUGGGGAUAGCGGAGCAGAGAUGGGGAAUUUUGUCAGUGUUUCGAGGUGCCAAGAGUACCUUUAGGGAUUUGUAUAAUACGACUUUUUCUCCUA